GAUGAACGCUGGCGGCGUGCCUAAUACAUGCAAGUCGAGCGAACAGACGAGGAGCUUGCUCCUCUGACGUUAGCGGCGGACGGGUGAGUAACACGUGGAUAACCUACCUAUAAGACUGGGAUAACUUCGGGAAACCGGAGCUAAUACCGGAUAAUAUAUUGAACCGCAUGGUUCAAUAGUGAAAGACGGUUUUGCUGUCACUUAUAGAUGGAUCCGCGCCGCAUUAGCUAGUUGGUAAGGUAACGGCUUACCAAGGCAACGAUGCGUAGCCGACCUGAGAGGGUGAACGGCCACACUGGAACUGAGACACGGUCCAGACUCCUACGGGAGGCAGCAGUAGGGAAUCUUACGCGAUGGACGAGAGCCUGACGGAGCAACGCCGGGUGAGUGAUGAAGGUCUUCGGAUCGUAAAACUCUGUUAUUAGGGAAGAACAAAUGUGUAAGUAACUAUGCACGUCUUGACGGUACCUAAUCAGAAAGCCACGGCUAACUACGUG
rnacentral:rRNA from 1 species